rnacentral:rRNA from 1 species
GAUGAACGCUGGCGGCGUGCUUAAUACAUGCAAGUCGAGCGGACGGACGAGAAGCUUGCUUUUCUGAUGUUAGCGGCGGACGGGUGAGUAACACGUGGAUAACCUACCUAUAAGACUGAGAUAACUUCGGGAAUCCGGAGCAUAUACCGGAUAAUAUUUUGAAGCGCAUGGUUCAAAAGUGAAAGACGGUCUUGCUGUCACUUCUCGCUGGAUCCGCGCUGCAUUAGCUAGUUGGUACGGUAACGGCUUACCACGGCAACGAUGCAUAGCCGACCUGAGAGGGUGAUCGCCCACACGAGAGCGUAGACACGGUCCAGACGCCUACGGGAGGCAGCAGUAUGGAAUCUUCCGCAAUGGUCGAAAACCUGGCGGAGCAACGCCGCGUGAGUGAUGAAAGUCUUCGGAGCGUAAAACUCUGUUAUUAGGGAAAAACAUAUGUGUAAUUAACUGUGCACAGCUUGACGGUACCUAAUCAGAAAGCCACGGCUAACUACGUG